rnacentral:misc_RNA from 1 species
AACCAUGUGGCGGCCUUAGAAUCUGUGUGUAUGAUAAAGUUCUUGUUUUCCGAGUAUAACUGCAAAAGGAAAGUAGGAGGUGAAGGCAAGUUUUUUUCUGCUGCCUUCAUAGCAGAGCAAGAAUAUACAGAUUCAUCAUUUUUUAGUCAAGUAUAUGAUUUAACAACCAACUAAUUGGAUAAUCACCUUCUCAAUGGUUUAGUCGUAUGUAACAUGUAGUUCUGAAUUGAGUUUCUGAAUUAUCUUUGGAUUUUGAAAUUAGAUGAAGGUGGAGUUGAAUUUGUGUUGUGAAUGACCCAACAUAAUAUCAAAUUCAUCUAUCUGAAUGGAUUCAUUUUAUAAAUGCUAUUUAGUAUAUGUGGAUCAGUGGGAA